UUUUACGGACACCCAAAUCAAAGAUAGUUCAGACCGGGAGCUUUUAUAUGCGAAUGAACAAAAUUUUGUUAAUGGAAAAGUGGUUUUGAGAACUGUCUUGGAAAUCUUCGUCUAACACGCCCUAAUUCUCUAAAUUAUUAGCCUUCAAUUUCUUAAUUGCAUGUUGUAACAUUUCAGUUUUUGUGACCAUAAUAAUCGGUAUUCGAAUCAUUGGGUUAAAGGGGAAAAUUUGUUGAUUUUCUAGAGUUGAAAUCGAGCGUUCACAUUGUGUUCUGAGUUUCAACUGUAUUGUAUCCACCAAGUGUUCGGUGAUUGUUCCGUGAGAAGCCAAGAGCAGAAGGAGGAGUUCAUUGGAGAGUGGGACAUGGCGAACAGUAAAUACGAGUACGUGAAGUCAUUCGAAGUGGAAGACGAAGUCAUGCCACCCAACCUGAUCGUUGUUCGAAUCGACGGCCGCGGUUUUCGCAGAUUUUCUGAAGUUCAUGAGUUUGCGAAACCGAAUGAUGAGAGAGCUUUGAAUUUGAUGAACUCAUGUGCAGCUGCUAUGUUAGAGGAAUAUCCAGACAUAGUAUUCUCAUUUGGAUUCAGUGAUGAGUACAGUUUUGUUUUCAAGAAGACAACCAAGUUCUACCAGAGGCGUGCCAGCAAAAUAGUAUCCCUUGUUGUCUCUUUCUUCACCUCCAUAUAUACCACAAAAUGGAAAGAAUUCUUCCCUCAUAAGGAGUUAAGGUAUCCCCCAUCAUUUCGUGCAUGGGUCAUAUGCUGUGCAUCAAUGGAAGUUCUUCAAACGUAUCUUGCAUGGAGACAAAAUGAUUGUCACAUCAAUAACCAGUAUAAUACAUGCUUCUGGAUGUUGGUUAAAUGUGGAAAGACUGAAGAGGAAGCACAAGAAGUCUUAAAGGGGACUCAUAAACAAGAAAAAAAUGAGCUGCUUUUUCAACAGUUCGGGAUCAACUACAAAAAUCUUCCUUCCAUGUUUCGUCAGGGGUCUUGUGUUUGCAAGACACAGGUUGAAGAUAUUGUGAAGUACAGUGAAAAUGGGACACCUGUUAAAAGAUUGCGGAGAAAGCCAAUCAUAGUUCAUUCAGAUAACAUAGCUGCAAGAAGCUUCUGGAAUGAGCACCCUUUUCUCCUCAAGGAGCUGGGUGAUUUCAGAGAGGACAUUAACAACAUUAAACCUGAGUAUGUUAAGUCCUUCCAAUUUGAAAACAAGUUGAUGCCACUUACUUGGAUUGUGGUUAGAAUCGAUGGCUGCCAUUUUCAUAGAUUUUCUGAAGUUCAUGAAUUUGAGAAGCCGAAUGAUGAGCAAGCUCUGAACCUUAUGAAUUCAUGUGCAGUGGCUGUGUUAGAGCAGUUUAAAGAUGUCAUCUUCUCAUAUGGGGUCAGUGAUGAAUACAGCUUUGUUCUGAAAAAGGAUUCUCAGUUCUAUCAAAGGCGUGGCAGCGAAAUAGUUACUGCUCUUGUAUCAUACUUCACUUCCAUUUAUGUAAUGAAAUGGAAAGAAUUCUUCCCACAGAAAGAGUUGAAGUACCCGCCUUGUUUUGAUGGACGGGCUGUACUGUAUCCAACAUCUGAGAUUCUCCGAGAUUAUUUGACAUGGAGACAAGUUGAUUGCCACAUUAACAAUCAAUAUAAUACCUGUUUCUGGAUGCUUGUUAAGUCUGGAAAGAGCAAAAGUGAAGCUCAAGCCUAUUUAAAGGGUACUCAAGCACGAGAGAAAAAUGAAGUUCUUCUCCAGCAAUUUGGUAUUGACUACAACACGUUGCCACUCAUGUUCCGUCAAGGAUCCUCUGCCUUCUGGAACGAGGAAGAGAAGACUGGGAUGUAUGAGAACGGAGCUUCAGCUGAAAAAUCUGGGAAGAAAGUUGUUGUGGAACACUGUAAUAUAAUUGAGCAAAGUUUCUGGGAAGCGCACCCAAGCAUCCUCAUUGAGAAGCCGCACAUGGUUUAAAGCAUUUCUGGUUGUCAAAACCUGUAAGUGACUUAUGAUAUAUAAAGUUACUACAGCAUUUUGAUUAACUCCUCAACUUGAAGGUCCACCUGAGGAAACAGAGUCCGGUGGAUGGAGAAUGAAUUCUGAUGCCAGAGAAGA